rnacentral:rRNA from 1 species
GAUGAACGCUGGCGGCGUGCCUAAUACAUGCAAGUCGAGCGAACAGACGAGGAGCUUGCUCCUCUGACGUUAGCGGCGGACGGGUGAGUAACACGUGGAUAACCUACCUAUAAGACUGGGAUAACUUCGGGAAACCGGAGCUAAUACCGGAUAAUAUAUUGAACCGCAUGGUUCAAUAGUGAAAGACGGUUUUGCUGUCACUUAUAGAUGGAUCCGCGCCGCAUUAGCUAGUUGGUAAGGUAACGGCUUACCAAGGCGACGAUGCGUAGCCGACCUGAGAGGGUGAUCGGACACACUGGAACUGAGACACAGUCCAGACUCCUACGGGAGGCAGCAGUAGGGAAUCUUCCGGAAUGGGGGAAAGCCUGACGGAGCAACGCCGCGGGAGUGAUGAAGGUCCUCGGAUCGUAAAACUCUGUUAUUCGGGAAGAACAAAAGUGUAAGUAACUAUGCACGUCUUGACGGUACCUAAUCAGAAAGCCACGGCUAACUACGUG